rnacentral:rRNA from 1 species
GACGAACGCUGGCGGCGUGCCUAAUACAUGCAAGUAGAACGCUGAAGGGAGAGCUUGCUCUUCUGGAUGAGUCGCGAACGGGUGAGUAACGCGUAGGUAACCUGCCUGGUAGCGGGGGAUGACUAUUGGAAACGAUAGCUAAUACCGCAUAACAGCAAAUGUUGCAUGACAUUUGCUUAAAAGGUGCAAUUGCAUCACUACCAGAUGGACCUGCGUUGUAUAAGCUAGUGGUGGGGGUAACGGCUCACCAAGGCGACGAUACAUAGCCGACCUAGGAAGGUGAUCGGCCAGACUGGGACUGAAGCACGGCCCAGACUCCUACGGGAGGCAGCAGUAGGGAAUCUUCGGCAAUGGACGGAAGUCUGACCGAGCAACGCCGCGUGAGUGAAGAAGGUUUUGGGAUCGUAAAGCUCUGUUGUAAGAGAAGAACGAGUGUGAGAGUGGAAAGUUCACACUGUGACGGUAUCUUACCAGAAAGGGACGGCUAACUACGUGCCAGCCGCCGCGGUAA